UGAAAGCAUCUAAGCAUGAAGCCCCCCUCAAGAUGAGAUUUCCCAACUUCGGUUAUAAGAUCCCUCAAAGAUGAUGAGGUUAAUAGGUUCGAGGUGGAAGCAUGGUGACAUGUGGAGCUGACGAAUACUAAUCGAUCGAAGACUUAAUCAAAA
rnacentral:rRNA from 1 species